rnacentral:misc_RNA from 1 species
GAAGACAAAACAGGAACACUGGAAUCGCUGACGUCAGAUCCAGAUGGACUCCCUGGAUUCAUAUAAAGCCCCGUGGACACAGGCAUACCAGAACCCGCACUCACAGAUCUCUUCAACGGCUGACCGUUACCACCCAAAUUACCAUCGUACGCAUCCCGGCUGCCAAAACUAACGUCGUCCACCAUCGACGAUGAGCACUUCCGCUUCAAAGUAGAGUUCCAGUGGUUCUUAAUAGCGUUAUCGGUCCGACCAUUGAGGAGGCGGGCGAUAGUGGCCCACUUGUUGCCGAAGUGAGCGUGGGCACGUAUGAUAGUCUCAUCCUCUUCAGGAGUGAAGGCGCGGUGCUCUACCUGAGGGGAGAGCUGGUUGCACCAUCGGAGGCGACAAGACUUACCGGAUCGGCCGGGAAUAGAUUUGCUUAUCAAGGACCAGUUUCUGGGUCCGUGCUUCUGGACCAGCAUCUGUAACGCUUCGUCUUCCUCGGGGCUC